UAGUAUUGCCCAAAGGACUCUUAAGAAAAUAUAAUGUGUAGCCAUGGGAUUUCCAACUGUACUCACGAGCAACCUGGAGAGAACAUGACAGCUCAGGACAGCACAAUACCUGCACCUGUCACUCACCUUUCCUAUAAGA